rnacentral:lncRNA from 1 species
GUGCCAGCCUCCAACAGGUGACGUGGGCUGCUACUGACGACUCAGAAUUUCGUGACGUGAGGCAAUGGAGGAAGAUUCCAAGCCUACGGCCAGCGGAGGACGAA